rnacentral:rRNA from 1 species
UACGUAGGGGGCAAGCGUUGUCCGGAAUCAUUGGGCGUAAAGCGCGUGUAGGCGGCCAGGUAGGUCAGCUGUGAAAACUCGAGGCUCAACCUCGAGAUGUCGGCUGAAACCAUCUGGCUAGAGUCCGGAAGAGGAGAAUGGAAUUCCCGGUGUAGCGGUGAAAUGCGCAGAUAUCAGGAGGAACACCGGUGGCGAAGGCGGUUCUCUGGGAAUGACCUGACGCUGAGGAGCGAAAGUGUGGGGAGCGAACAGG